GUAGUUAGCCGGGGCUUCCUCCUUGGGUACCGUCACUUUCUUCGUCCCCAAGGACAGAGGUUUACAAUCCGAAAACCUUCUUCCCUCACGCGGCGUUGCUGGGUCAGAGUUGCCUCCAUUGCCCAAUAUUCCCCACUGCUGCCUCCCGUAGGAGUCUGGACCGUAUCUCAGUUCCAGUGUGGCCGAUCACCCUCUCAGGUCGGCUACCCAUCGCGGGCUUGGUGGGCCGUUACCUCACCAACUACCUAAUGGGACGCGAGCCCCUCUACAAGCGAUAAAUCUUUUACCCCUGUGCCAUGCAGCACUGUGGUCUCAUGCGGUAUUAGCAGCCGUUUCCAGCUGUUGUCCCCCUCUUGUAGGCAGGUCGCUCACGCGUUACUCACCCGUCCGCCACUAACACUUCUCAGGUGCAAGCACCCGAUGGUGUCCGUUCGACUUGCAUGUGUUAAGCACGCCGCCAGCGUUCGUCCUGAGCAUGAUACAACUACUGA
rnacentral:rRNA from 1 species